rnacentral:rRNA from 1 species
GUACGGGAGGCAGCAGUAGGGAAUAUUGCGCAAUGGACGAAAGUCUGACGCAGCAACGCCGCGUGUGGGAUGAAGUUCCUUGGAGUGUAAACCACUGUCGGGGGGGAUGAACGAUUAUGACUCUAACAUAGUCAUAGUUUGACUGUACCCCCAGAGGAAGCUCCGGCUAACUCCGUGCCAGCAGCCGCGGUAAUACGGGGGGAGCAAGCGUUGUUCGGAAUCACUGGGCGUAAAGGGUGCGCAGGCGGGAAAUUAAGUCGGAUGUGAAAACCUCGGGCUCAACCCGAGGCCUGCAUUUGAAACUGAUUUUCUUGAGUAUCGGAGAGGAAAGUGGAACUCCAGGUGUAGCGGUGAAAUGCGUAGAUAUCUGGAGGAACACCUGUGGCGAAGGCGGCUUUCUGGCCGAAUACUGACGCUCAUGCACGAAGGCUAGGGGAGCAAACAGGAUUAGAUACCCCGGU